rnacentral:rRNA from 1 species
CCUACGGGAGGCAGCAGUGGGGAAUAUUGGACAAUGGGGGCAACCCUGAUCCAGCCAUGCCGCGUGUGUGAAGAAGGCCCUCGGGUUGUAAAGCACUUUCAGUGAGGAAGAACGCCUGGUGGUUAAUACCCAUCAGGAAAGACAUCACUCACAGAAGAAGCACCGGCUAACUCCGUGCCAGCAGCCGCGGUAAUACGGAGGGUGCGAGCGUUAAUCGGAAUUACUGGGCGUAAAGCGCGCGUAGGUGGCUUGAUAAGCCGGUUGUGAAAGCCCCGGGCUCAACCUGGGAACGGCAUCCGGAACUGUCAAGCUAGAGUGCAGGAGAGGAAGGUAGAAUUCCCGGUGUAGCGGUGAAAUGCGUAGAGAUCAGGAGGAAUACCAGUGGCGAAGGCGGCCUUCUGGACUGACACUGACACUGAGGUGCGAAAGCGUGGGUAGCAAACAGGAUUAGAUACCCUAGUAGUC